GUGGCCUAGUGGCAGAGCGUCCGUCUUGGAUGCAGGAGGUCGUGGGUUCGAUCCCCGACCAAGUCA